rnacentral:snRNA from 1 species
UCUAGUGCUCAAUUUUAGUAUAUAAUAACAUUGGAAUGAUACAGAGAAGAUUAUUAAAAUGCCCCUGCGCAAGGAUGGCUAGCAAACUCAUGAAAAAUUCCACACAAGA